GGGGGUGUACCGGAUUCGAUUGGCAGCGUUCGGGGCGGAUUGCAUGUCGAGGAUGAUCGUUGGCCUCGUAAAACAUCGGUCAAAACAAUAAUUGCGAACGAACAGUACGCAUUGGCUGCGUAAUUUGACGGCCACAUCCGCUGCCUGAAGGAUGCUAAGGCAAUCCGGGUGUCAUAGAGCAUUCUGGUCGAUAACAGCGACCUUUGGUUAUUGACGAGAUUAACAGGAAGGAAUAGUCGAGUUCAAGGCUACGUUGGGCAGCAACUUGAAAUCGACGAAAAGCAACUAAGCUCCAACUAAACAUGUAGAUAUCUGCUUUGGUGUUGACCAAGACAGGGGUUCAACUCCCCUCACCUCCACCA
rnacentral:tmRNA from 1 species